CGGUUACAUUGUAACAAGUUUAAUACAGGGUCCUUAUGUUUUAAACUUACAUCAGACCCGUACGUUUGCACUAUAGAACAAAGCAUUAGAAAUGAUACGUCGAAUAACAUCGCUCUGGUUGCGGCAGUCUUUGGUGGUACAGUUAAUACCUGAUACAACAUGCUCAGCAAUGCCUCGUGGAUCUUUGUGUAAUCGGCGUUGAGCGUCUUCAAUAUUCCAGAUAAUGUAGGCUCGGCUCGCACGAUUACUUUUGGAAUAGAGGUCGUCAACGUAGAAGAUUCUAAUUUUUGCAAAGUUGCUGUAACACCCUCUCUGAAAUAAUGUUGACACAAGAAAUGAGUGAUAUAUGUUUAUCCAUUAGUUCGGUUGGUUGUGGAGUCAGUGGACUGUUCUGAGGCAUUUUUGUUAAAGUAUGCAAAUAACAUUGUAACAACCAAUGUACAAUAGAUAACACUGCAGCUGCCAAAAGAUCUUCUUCUGAUUUACCACGACAAGUUAUACCUAUUUGUAUAGACUCCAAGAAUUCUAGUAAACUUAAGAUACAGUGGGGCUUAUGAAAGGCAUCGUAUUUGCUUAUCCGUUGCAAUACAGCAGCAUAGGAGACCAACUGUAAUUAGAUUUAUACUUGUAAAUACUGCAUCAACAGCAAACAGCUAACAAUUAUACAUACCUGAGAACUCAAAGAAUGUUUCAGGUAAGAGAGCACUAACUGAUUAGGACCUAAUCCUACUAAUGCCUGUUGCAAUAUACAGUCUGCUAAAUUAUAUACAUCUCCACUAACACCUCUUGGUAAAAUCUAAUGGUAAUGUAUAAAUAAUUAUUUUCAAGUAUAUAUACAAGGUUUUCCAAAAGGAACUUUAUCCACUCCAAAAGUACUACUUACUGUUUUUAUAUUAAUACCCCAUUGUAAAUCACUCCAGCGUUCUCUCCAUGCUCGUAACAAAAGAGCUUUCAAACUACUGGUUUUACUUGUUACUUUAGUCUCCAUAGUUGAUGUUAAAAGAUUACACAUAAUUUUUCCUACAUAAGUAAUGUCUGUAACAUUACAAACUAUCGUAAUUAUAAAUAAUACAGAACAAAUAUUAUGAUCUAGAUUACUCGAUAUGCAAUUAAAUAAAAUUUACUGUACAAAAUACACAAAUUACUUUUCAGUAAUUAAACUAGGUAUACAUUCAACAACAUUUAAUAUCGG